rnacentral:lncRNA from 1 species
GAGUAACAUUUGCUUAUCUGACGAAGGCCGCAAAUGAGGAAAGCCGUUGCGUGGCAGCGGAGAGGCUAUACGGCCGAAAAAUCCUGGUCGACUGCGACGCCAAAUGCGAGCGGGCCGUCAACGUUGUUUGCCGCGUGCCGAAAGGAAACAAGUGCCUCUAGGAACAGUCAGAGCAACCCGCGUCAUACCACCACGCGUUUUUCCCCAGCUUAUAUUCCCGGCUUUCAAGGAGAUUGAAUCGGAGGACUCUGGAAGACCCUGAAUCGCAGGUCCCACAGAACCAAAGCAAGUCUGCACAUUACGCUGUGCCCGAAGAUCACGGGCCGGAGCACACAUCACUCCGGCAGCUCGCACAUCACAAGGUUCAUACCAAAGUCAACAUGGCACUUCGAGCAAGGACAACGAGGGGAUCAGCACAUACAGAUGAACAGGGUAGCAGCGGCAACCACGUGAGCGCGCUGACCGAGGAACGGCCGCGCAGGAGCCUCUCCCUGGCCAUAAAGGUGGCCAUCGUGAUUGCCGUGAUCGCCAUCAACCUGCUCAUCUAUGCCAAUCUGGAGUACUUCAAGUCGGACGUCCCUUUCGACGAUGAUCAAUGAACUGUCCUUUGCCAGCCCACUCUUGAUAAGCGCCAUUGAGGACUCUGACAAACUUUUUCGAAGGCCCGUAGACACCGCGGUGCAUGUGUCACGCUAAUUGUGUCCUAUAUAGCAUACAUUAAUGCAAUAACUAUAAAUUAAGCUGCAUAUCAUGGCAUCAUUUGGGGUUCAUUCGAAUAUGCGCGGCUUACAGUCAGUAAGCGUGUGUGAACACACUUUGCUGACUGCUGUUGGGAACUUCUAAGUGAGGCAAGAUGUUAUAAUAUUCUGUAUAUUUUUAUAUUAAUGGUGGAAGCACAUAAAGGAGAGCCGGUCUCUCGCCAGGAAGAGUAGACUUCGUUUCGCAGCUUUUUCGGAGAAGCGUAAUUUAUUUUCCGAAUCGCCAAGGCGCCGCCAUUAUGCUGCGGAACAAGAAAGAGCGACAACGUCAUUAACGUGUGUUGAGGUAUUUGCUUUCGCGUACGACGGCUCUGAAAUUAGCGCUUACACCGAAAUCUGCGACCAACUAAUUGAAAAAUAGAAACGCUAGGCCACCUUAUACGUCACUUUACAUUGUAGCCGUUGCAAAUAAAAGAAGUAGGUAGCACUAACGUGCUUGCCACAUUCAGUGACGGCGUAGUUGAUGUAUGAAAAGUC